rnacentral:antisense_RNA from 1 species
AGAAGGCUUCCGGGACGGUGACGUUUUGGGGGCCUUUUUCUUUUGC